rnacentral:rRNA from 1 species
UGGGGAAUUUUGGACAAUGGGCGAAAGCCUGAUCCAGCAAUGCCGCGUGUGUGAAGAAGGCCUUCGGGUUGUAAAGCACUUUUGUCCGGAAAGAAAUCCUUGGCUCUAAUACAGUCGGGGGAUGACGGUACCGGAAGAAUAAGCACCGGCUAACUACGUGCCAGCAGCCGCGGUAAUACGUAGGGUGCAAGCGUUAAUCGGAAUUACUGGGCGUAAAGCGUGCGCAGGCGGUUUGCUAAGACCGAUGUGAAAUCCCCGGGCUCAACCUGGGAACUGCAUUGGUGACUGGCAGGCUAGAGUAUGGCAGAGGGGGGUAGAAUUCCACGUGUAGCAGUGAAAUGCGUAGAGAUGUGGAGGAAUACCGAUGGCGAAGGCAGCCCCCUGGGCCAAUACUGACGCUCAUGCACGAAAAGCGUGGGGAGCAAAACAGGAUUAGAUACCCUGGUAGUCCACGCCCUAAAACGAUGUCAACUAGUUGUUGGGGAUUCAUUUCCUUAGUAACGUAGCUAACGCGUAAAGUUGACCGCCUGGGGAGUACGGUCGCAAGAUUAAAACUCAAAUGAAUUGACGGGGUCAUAGCUGUUUCCU